AGAAAACCUCUUCCCCUGAGGAAACUAGAGUAGCUCUGCAACAAUGGCUUCCAAAAGAAGAAUGGGUCGCUAUUAACUUUCUGUUGGUAGGUUUCGGACAAACUAUAUGCACACCGCUAAGACCACGAUGUGGAACUUGUAGUAUCACUGAGCUAUGCCCUUCUGCCUUCAAGGAGACCCCAAGCGCAUCAUCCAAAUUGAAGAAACCUAUCAAAAGCAAGAAACCUUAGUAGCUUUGGUUCUGGAUUCUCCUACUAGAUAAAUUUUAACCCAUAUUGUGAUUUAGUCCUCGGUAAAAGUUAAGCUGUCCCCAAGAAAUUGUAUAGUCUUAUGGGGAAUGCAAGAGCAUCCCACUUGUGUAUAACUUAUAUAGACUGAAAACUUGCCAUAAUGAAAGAAAGACACUUGGGCAAGUAUACUUCUGAUUGAUUGAUAAGAAAAAAAAGCUUUAAAGAUAAUUCAAAAACCU